rnacentral:rRNA from 1 species
UACGUAGGGGGCAAGCGUUGUCCGGAUUUAUUGGGCGUAAAGAGCGUGUAGGCGGCCUGGCAAGUCCGCUGUGAAAACUCGAGGCUUAACCUCGAGACGUCGGUGGAAACUGCCUGGCUAGAGUCCGGAAGAGGCGAGUGGAACUCCUGGUGUAGCGGUGGAAUGCGCAGAUAUCAGGAAGAACACCAACGGCGAAGGCAGCUCGCUGGGACGGUACUGACGCUGAGGCGCGAAAGCUAGGGGAGCGAACAGG